rnacentral:rRNA from 1 species
AGUGGCAGACGGGUGAGUAACGCGUGGGAACCUGCCCAGUAGUAGAGAAUAACUUGAGGAGACUUCAGCUAAUACUUUAUACACCCUUCGGGGAAAAGCUUUAUGCGCUAUUGGAUGGGCCCGCGUUAGAUUAGUUUGUUGGUGAGGUAAUGGCUCACCAAGACUACGAUCUAUAGCUGGUCUGAGAGGAUGAUCAGCCACACUGGGACUGAGACACGGCCCAGACUCCUACGGGAGGCAGCAGUGGGGAAUAUUGGACAAUGGGGGCAACCCUGAUCCAGCGAUGCCGCGUGAGUGAUGAAGGCCUUCGGGUUGUAAAACUCUUUCGUCAGGGAAGAUAAUGACGGUACCUGAAGAAGAAGAUCCGGCUAACUCCGUGCCAGCAGCCGCGGUAAUACGGAGGGAUCUAGCGUUAUUCGGAAUUACUGGGCGUAAAGCGAGCGUAGGCGGAUUUGUAAGUUGGAGGUGAAAUCCCAGAGCUUAACUCUGGAACUGCCUUCAAAACUACAUUUCUUGAGUUUGGUAGAGGAGAGUGGAAUUCCUAGUGUAGAGGUGAAAUUCGUAGAUAUUAGGAGGAACACCAGUGGCGAAGGCGACUCUCUGGGCCAAUACUGACGCUGAGGUUCGAAAGCAUGGGUAGCGAACAGGAUUAGAUACCCUGGUAGUCCAUGCAGUAAACGAUGAGUGCUAGAUGUUGGGAAUUUAAAUUUCCAGUAUCGCAGUAACGCGUAAGCACUCCGCCUGGA